GGGCGGUUAGCUCAGUUGGGAGAGCACCAGCUCGACAAGCUGGGGGUCACUGGUUCGAGCCCAGUACCGCCCACCA
rnacentral:tRNA from 1 species